AACGCUAGCUACAGGCUUAACACAUGCAAGUCGAGGGGAAACGAUAUUGGAAGCUUGCUUCCGAUAGGCGUCGACCGGCGCACGGGUGAGUAACGCGUAUCCAACCUGCCCAUCACUUAGGGAUAACCUUGCGAAAGUAAGACUAAUACCCAAUGAUAUCUCUAGAAGACAUCUGAAAGAGAUUAAAGAUUUAUCGGUGAUGGAUGGGGAUGCGUCUGAUUAGCUUGUUGGCGGGGUAACGGCCCACCAAGGCAACGAUCAGUAGGGGUUCUGAGAGGAAGGUCCCCCACAUUGGAACUGAGACACGGUCCAAACUCCUACGGGAGGCAGCAGUGAGGAAUAUUGGUCAAUGGACGAGAGUCUGAACCAGCCAAGUAGCGUGCAGGAUGACGGCCCUAUGGGUUGUAAACUGCUUUUAUAAGGGAAUAAAGUGAGUCUCGUGAGACUUUUUGCAUGUACCUUAUGAAUAAGGACCGGCUAAUUCCGUGCCAGCAGCCGCGGUAAUACGGAAGGUCCGGGCGUUAUCCGGAUUUAUUGGGUUUAAAGGGAGCGUAGGCCGGAGAUUAAGCGUGUUGUGAAAUGUAGACGCUCAACGUCUGCACUGCAGCGCGAACUGGUUUCCUUGAGUACGCACAAAGUGGGCGGAAUUCGUGGUGUAGCGGUGAAAUGCUUAGAUAUCACGAAGAACUCCGAUUG
rnacentral:rRNA from 1 species